CCCAGAGGAAGGUCCCCCCCCCGUUUGCAAGGUGAGCUCCGAGGAAGACGAUGGUCGCCUGGCCUGGAAGCCAGGAAUCAGCACAGG
rnacentral:ribozyme from 1 species